rnacentral:rRNA from 1 species
AGAGUUUGAUCCUGGCUCAGGAUGAACGCUAGCUACAGGCUUAACACAUGCAAGUCGAGGGGCAGCAUGGUCUUAGCUUGCUAAGGCCGAUGGCGACCGGCGCACGGGUGAGUAACACGUAUCCAACCUGCCGUCUACUCUUGGACAGCCUUCUGAAAGGAAGAUUAAUACAAGAUGGCAUCAUGAGUCCGCAUGUUCACAUGAUUAAAGGUAUUCCGGUAGACGAUGGGGAUGCGUUCCAUUAGAUAGUAGGCGGGGUAACGGCCCACCUAGUCUUCGAUGGAUAGGGGUUCUGAGAGGAAGGUCCCCCACAUUGGAACUGAGACACGGUCCAAACUCCUACGGGAGGCAGCAGUGAGGAAUAUUGGUCAAUGGGCGAGAGCCUGAACCAGCCAAGUAGCGUGAAGGAUGACUGCCCUAUGGGUUGUAAACUUCUUUUAUAAAGGAAUAAAGUCGGGUAUGCAUACCCGUUUGCAUGUACUUUAUGAAUAAGGAUCGGCUAACUCCGUGCCAGCAGCCGCGGUAAUACGGAGGAUCCGAGCGUUAUCCGGAUUUAUUGGGUUUAAAGGGAGCGUAGAUGGAUGUUUAAGUCAGUUGUGAAAGUUUGCGGCUCAACCGUAAAAUUGCAGUUGAUACUGGAUAUCUUGAGUGCAGUUGAGGCAGGCGGAAUUCGUGGUGUAGCGGUGAAAUGCUUAGAUAUCACGAAGAACUCCGAUUGCGAAGGCAGCCUGCUAAGCUGCAACUGACAUUGAGGCUCGAAAGUGUGGGUAUCAAACAGGAUUAGAUACCCUGGUAGUCCACACGGUAAACGAUGAAUACUCGCUGUUUGCGAUAUACAGCAAGCGGCCAAGCGAAAGCGUUAAGUAUUCCACCUGGGGAGUACGCCGGCAACGGUGAAACUCAAAGGAAUUGACGGGGGCCCGCACAAGCGGAGGAACAUGUGGUUUAAUUCGAUGAUACGCGAGGAACCUUACCCGGGCUUAAAUUGCAGAUGAAUUACGGUGAAAGCCGUAAGCCGCAAGGCAUCUGUGAAGGUGCUGCAUGGUUGUCGUCAGCUCGUGCCGUGAGGUGUCGGCUUAAGUGCCAUAACGAGCGCAACCCUUGUUGUCAGUUACUAACAGGUCAUGCUGAGGACUCUGACAAGACUGCCAUCGUAAGAUGUGAGGAAGGUGGGGAUGACGUCAAAUCAGCACGGCCCUUACGUCCGGGGCUACACACGUGUUACAAUGGGGGGUACAGAAGGCCGCUACCACGCGAGUGGAUGCCAAUCCCCAAAACCUCUCUCAGUUCGGACUGGAGUCUGCAACCCGACUCCACGAAGCUGGAUUCGCUAGUAAUCGCGCAUCAGCCACGGCGCGGUGAAUACGUUCCCGGGCCUUGUACACACCGCCCGUCAAGCCAUGAAAGCCGGGGGUACCUGAAGUGCGUAACCGCAAGGAGCGCCCUAGGGUAAAACUGGUGAUUGGGGCUAAGUCGUAACAAGGUAGCCGUACCGGAAGGUGCGGCUG